rnacentral:rRNA from 1 species
UUUUAUGGAGAGUUUGAUCCUGGCUCAGGAUGAACGCUGGCGGCGUGCCUAAUACAUGCAAGUCGAGCGAACGGACGAGAAGCUUGCUUCUCUGAUGUUAGCGGCGGACGGGUGAGUAACACGUGGAUAACCUACCUAUAAGACUGGGAUAACUUCGGGAAACCGGAGCUAAUACCGGAUAAUAUUUUGAACCGCAUGGUUCAAAAGUGAAAGACGGUCUUGCUGUCACUUAUAGAUGGAUCCGCGCUGCAUUAGCUAGUUGGUAAGGUAACGGCUUACCAAGGCAACGAUGCAUAGCCGACCUGAGAGGGUGAUCGGCCACACUGGAACUGAGACACGGUCCAGACUCCUACGGGAGGCAGCAGUAGGGAAUCUUCCGCAAUGGGCGAAAGCCUGACGGAGCAACGCCGCGUGAGUGAUGAAGGUCUUCGGAUCGUAAAACUCUGUUAUUAGGGAAGAACAUAUGUGUAAGUAACUGUGCACAUCUUGACGGUACCUAAUCAGAAAGCCACGGCUAACUACGUGCCAGCAGCCGCGGUAAUACGUAGGUGGCAAGCGUUAUCCGGAAUUAUUGGGCGUAAAGCGCGCGUAGGCGGUUUUUUAAGUCUGAUGUGAAAGCCCACGGCUCAACCGUGGAGGGUCAUUGGAAACUGGAAAACUUGAGUGCAGAAGAGGAAAGUGGAAUUCCAUGUGUAGCGGUGAAAUGCGCAGAGAUAUGGAGGAACACCAGUGGCGAAGGCGACUUUCUGGUCUGUAACUGACGCUGAUGUGCGAAAGCGUGGGGAUCAAACAGGAUUAGAUACCCUGGUAGUCCACGCCGUAAACGAUGAGUGCUAAGUGUUAGGGGGUUUCCGCCCCUUAGUGCUGCAGCUAACGCAUUAAGCACUCCGCCUGGGGAGUACGACCGCAAGGUUGAAACUCAAAGGAAUUGACGGGGACCCGCACAAGCGGUGGAGCAUGUGGUUUAAUUCGAAGCAACGCGAAGAACCUUACCAAAUCUUGACAUCCUUUGACAACUCUAGAGAUAGAGCCUUCCCCUUCGGGGGACAAAGUGACAGGUGGUGCAUGGUUGUCGUCAGCUCGUGUCGUGAGAUGUUGGGUUAAGUCCCGCAACGAGCGCAACCCUUAAGCUUAGUUGCCAUCAUUAAGUUGGGCACUCUAAGUUGACUGCCGGUGACAAACCGGAGGAAGGUGGGGAUGACGUCAAAUCAUCAUGCCCCUUAUGAUUUGGGCUACACACGUGCUACAAUGGACAAUACAAAGGGCAGCGAAACCGCGAGGUCAAGCAAAUCCCAUAAAGUUGUUCUCAGUUCGGAUUGUAGUCUGCAACUCGACUACAUAAAGCUGGAAUCGCUAGUAAUCGUAGAUCAGCAUGCUACGGUGAAUACGUUCCCGGGUCUUGUACACACCGCCCGUCACACCACGAGAGUUUGUAACACCCGAAGCCGGUGGAGUAACCUUUUAGGAGAUAGCCGUCGAAGGUGGGACAAAUGAUUGGGGUGAAGUCGUAACAAGGUAGCCGUAUCGGAAGGUGCGGCUGGAUCACCUCCUUUCUAA